rnacentral:rRNA from 1 species
GAUGAACGCUGGCGGCGUGCCUAAUACAUGCCAGUCGAGCGAACAGACGAGGAGCUUGCUCCUCUGACGUUAGCGGCGGACGGGUGAGUAACACGUGGAUAACCUACCUAUAAGACUGGGAUAACUUCGGGAAACCGGAGCUAAUGCCGGAUAAUAUAUUGAACCGCAUGGUUCAAUAGUGAAAGACGGUUUUGCUGUCACUUAUAGAUGGAUCCGCGCCGCAUUAGCUAGUUGGUAAGGUAACGGCUUACCAAGGCAACGAUGCGUAGCCGACCUGAGAGGGUGAUCGGCCACACUGGAACUGAGACACGGUCCAGACUCCUACGGGAGGCAGCAGUAGGGAAUCUUCCGCAAUGGGCGAAAGCUUGACGGAGCAACGCCGCGUGAGUGAUGAAGGUCUUCGGAUCGUAAAACUCUGUUAUUAGGGAAGAACAAAUGUGUAGGUAACUAUGCACGUCUUGACGGUACCUAAUCAGAAAGCCACGGCUAACUACGU